rnacentral:hammerhead_ribozyme from 1 species
GCACUGCUGAGCAGUUCAACAAUAGGACGAAACGGCUGUCUAGUGC